rnacentral:rRNA from 1 species
CCCUUAGAUGUUCUGGGCCGCACGCGCGCUACACUGAUGCAUUCAACGAGUAAUCUUUGACCUUGGUCGACAGAUCUGGGUAAUCUUUUGAAAUUGCAUCGCGAUGGGGCUUGCGGGUUGCAAUUACCCGCACCAACGAGGAAUUCCUAGUAAACGCAAGUCAUCAACUUGCAUUGAUUACGUCCCUGCCCUUUGUACACACCGCCCGUCGCUCCUACCGAUUGAGCGGUCCGGUGAAGACUCAGGAGAUGGGCGCGUGCUUGGUUCGCCAACUGCGCUGCCUGCCAAAUUUGUCUAAACCUUAUCGCUUAGAGGAAGGAGAAGUCGUAACA